rnacentral:rRNA from 1 species
CCUACGGGAGGCAGCAGUGAGGAAUAUUGGUCAAUGGACGAGAGUCUGAACCAGCCAAGUAGCGUGAAGGAUGACUGCCCUAUGGGUUGUAAACUUCUUUUAUAAAGGAAUAAAACGAGGCACGUGUGCCUUUUUGCAUGUACUUUAUGAAUAAGGAUCGGCUAACUCCGUGCCAGCAGCCGCGGUAAUACGGAGGAUCCGAGCGUUAUCCGGAUUUAUUGGGUUUAAAGGGAGCGUAGAUGGGUUGUUAAGUCAGUUGUGAAAGUUUGCGGCUCAACCGUAAAAUUGCAAUUGAUACUGGCAGUCUUGAGUACAGUUGAGGUAUGCGGAAUUCGUGGUGUAGCGGUGAAAUGCUUAGAUAUCACGAAGAACCCCGAUUGCGAAGGCAGCUUACUAGACUGUGACUGACAUUGAUGCUCGAAAGUGUGGGUAUCGAACAGGAUUAGAUACCCUUGUAGUC